UGGCGGCGUGCCUAAUACAUGCAAGUCGAACGCACUCUCGUUUAGAUUGAAGGAGCUUGCUCCUGAUUGAUAAACAUUUGAGUGAGUGGCGGACGGGUGAGUAACACGUGGGUAACCUGCCCUAAAGUGGGGGAUAACAUUUGGAAACAGAUGCUAAUACCGCGUAAAACCUAACACCGCAUGGUGUAGGGUUGAAAGAUGGUUUCGGCUAUCACUUUAGGAUGGACCCGCGGUGCAUUAGUUAGUUGGUGAGGUAAAGGCUCACCAAGACCGUGAUGCAUAGCCGACCUGAGAGGUAAUCGGCCACACUGGGACUGAGACACGGCCCAGACUCCUACGGGAGGCAGCAGUAGGGAAUCUUCCACAAUGGACGAAAGUCUGAUGGAGCAACGCCGCGUGAGUGAAGAAGGUUUUCGGAUCGUAAAACUCUGUUGUUGGAGAAGAAUGUAUCUGAUAGUAACUGAUCAGGUAGUGACGGUAUCCAACCAGAAAGCCACGGCUAACUACGUG
rnacentral:rRNA from 1 species